rnacentral:lncRNA from 1 species
GAAUCCAAGGGAACACGUGUGUAUACCUACGACUCUAGUAUCCAAGGACAACCAACCAAAGGUAGACGAAGGGUAGAGAGGAUUCCAUGGAUAGCACUAGAUAAGUUAAAGGCCGAUCUCUCGAGUCAAGGUACUCGCUUCGGGUAUCGGCUUACCCUAAAUAAGUCAGGUGCCUUUGGCCAACAGCUCUACGCUAUAUCCGAACAUGGAGGAUUACGAAGGAUUAAUAGGGCUGUCACCACCUACGGCCUACC